rnacentral:lncRNA from 1 species
UGGUUAGCUAUAAAGGAGGCUAUCCAGUUCGCAGUUCUAUUUGUCUUCCUGAACCGAGAAUCGACUUUCACUCAUACAUAGUUUAUAUGUACUCAUCUAUCAUGGAUACAGAUGCACUGAGGAGUGAAGACACUUUCAUUAACCUAUCUCUAGACCAAUUUACCUAUCCUUUUAUGGCUGUAAUCGGACCACUGUUUGAUGCUCAUCACUGUGCAGCGCAUUUUGGCGAAAGUUGGAUCCAAAAGCCAGUGAAUAGAUCAUGCAAGCAAUGGCUGCUAAUCUAAUAAGACCAGAUUCUGUACCUGGUGUUUUAUAAACCACCAGGACCUAUGAGACCUAAUGGUUUAUAAACUAGUUGGUACAGCAUCUAGUCUUAUAAUUUUCUGUUAGAUUAGCAACUACUGCUUGCAUGGUGGAUUUAAUCAUCCAUUAGGAACUCUUUUUUCUCUUUUCUUUUUUCUUUUUUGAGGACAGAGAUGUUGACCCAUCGGAAUUCAUGAAAAUGUGAACUAUUUGCUCGCAUACGUAUCGAUUUGAUAGCCUACGGUGCACUGCUUGCGCUGUCAAACAAUUGCAUUACCAUCCACCUGAAGGAAAUUUUGUGCAAACCAGGUCACGUCUGGGUCAUUACCAAAAUUCGAAAAUCUAGCCAUUGACGUAACAGUAUGCUGCGUCUAUGUAGUCCGCCAACCGCGAGGAAUCUUCUACCAGCUGGCCGUAAAUGUUAUCAGCUUCAAGAACGCAUGCUACUCCUCCAUUUGAAUUGCUUUCCUCGCUUGCAUCUCCAUUUUCUGCGUCUCGCGUCUCAACUUCAUGUUUUAUUUCACCUCGAACUCUUGUCAUCCCCUGAAUCAGUUCCAACUACUGCAUUUUUCCAGGUUUCUUGUCCAAUAGGCUUUUGAACUGCUUCCUACCUUUCCUCACUUGUUUUACGAAAAACAUUCAUGAAUAACUAAUGCAAACAUAAAAAUAGCUGCAUUAUCUGGGUGGGGUUUUACAAAAGCACUGCCAAUGCUUAUCAUCUGAAGGAUAAUACUUGAAUUUCUAUUUGCAAAUGUUUAAUCAACACAAUUAGAUUGCUACACAUUAAACAUAAGAUGUCUAGUUUUUUUAAUAAAAUAAGAAGAAAAAGAAAAGAAACAGAAACGAAAAAUAAGCAAAACAAACUAAUUCAGAAUCUCUCUGAACUCCAGCUCGAGCAGGCCAUGCCGCACAUCAGUAUAAAGAUUUGAAUGUACUCGGUUUGCAUGAUGGAUCUAGGACCUCCCUUGAAAAUUAAUGAAAAUAACUAAGAGCCAAGUGAUAUUACAUCUAUUCUCUGCAUCUGGUCGCAGGCUGCCACAGUUAGAUGUCAUGAAUUCUACAUGCAUCAUGAAGAGAUAAUACGUUAAAAUCAAAUUAUAGAGGAAACAUUCAAAAUAAUGGGGCAGUUUUCAUGCAAGAUUAUGUUAGAUUCUUUUAGAGACAGCACAAUCAGUUGGGAAUCGGAUAAUUUGGCUAAUGGAACCAUAUCUAGGAUAAAGUGUAACUUCUAUUCUCUUCUUCUAUUAGGUUAGAUAGGAAAUAAAGAAGUUACUUGGAUGGAUUUACAUAGAUGAUCUUAUUCUUGAAUUCAAAGAUUUGUCCUGCCUCAUCACCCUGUGCAUGUAAAUGAAUAUAUUCCUGAACAACCAGUAAGUAUUUUUUUUAAAAAAAGAAUCUAUGAUUAUGGCAAAAAUUAAUUAAAGACUGGCAUCAAAAUGGUUUAAAUUAAAUUACUACCGUCAAAAAUGUUAUAACAUGAUGGCUAUCCAUGCAAUGAGGUCAGCACGAACAACUUGUAGAAGAGAAAA